CUCACACUCCAGCUCCCUCUUACACGUGAACAAAGAACUUGAACUCCUUCACUUGAGUAGAGACGGCAAGUUGGGAAAAAAAAGGAACGUCAAUACAUUCCUGUAGCAUUAAAAGGUUGUUGGUGAAUGUUUGGGAUCGGUCGUGUAGGGGCAGAUAACAACUGGAUCGCCUGAAGAUCAGAGCACAACGCCGACCUCGGCGAGACGCGUGUAUUCGGCACGCUAUCAGAUACCGCUCGUCCAAAAAGGCGUGAAAACUCCUCUGCAUGACGAGAGAGGUGGCAAUCUUGACUUGAUUGGUGGACGUGUUCAUAACUACCGCCGCUCUGCACUGCAAAC
ensembl:lncRNA